rnacentral:lncRNA from 1 species
GCAAAUUGAAGGCUGUGCGCAACGGGAAGGACUUGUUGCAUAAAUAUACCAUUUUAGGCGCAAAAGGCUCCCCCCACCCUUCUUACACGGUACUGUUUUGCUUAAUAUUUGAAACUAAAAGCCAUUGAAUGGCAGCUUACUAUUCCCCUUUUUUUUCGCCAUAAGCAGCAGACCCAAUUCUUAGGGUUUCAACACAACAAAUUUUGGGGUUUUCCCAUCCCCCUAUUUGAUCAUUCGACUGCCCCAUUCCACCAUUGAAAUUGAUGGAUGGUGGCUCCCCAUGGAGUCGUUUCAUUCUCCUACUCUAAGCCUCACCUCGAAAGGUAAGAUUUUUAGCCCGAAAACCCAUCUCAAGCUUUGAUUUCGACGAAGAAUAGAUGGUCCCCGAUGGCUCGUUUGAAGGUAUGCUUCCUUUUUUAUUAUUUUAUGCAGAAAACAUAUGAAACACGAAAGGAAGAUGAAACAGAUGCAAAAAAAAGAAGAAACACAAGGCGCUCGAAAAAAAAAUCACCUUCUAGUUCUAUUCUGAUUUCUCUCUAUUGCGGAUUGCAUAAAUGUCUGUUUUUUUGUGUAACCGAUUAUAAGGAUUAAAAUUUUUGCUUUAUAGCCAGAGAAAAAAAGAAAAUCAAAAUAAAAAAUACAAUAUUUCUCUUUUGUUUGCAUUCGCUGCUGUUCUGCCUCGUUUGUUUGCAGGUACGGAGGUAUGGAGCCAGCUGUGGGGAUAUGUGGCACUCAACGUGGGGUGUACGGAGGCGUUGAAGGCGGUCGUACGGCGCGAGGGCUAAGGCUCGUCUGCGGUUGAGGCGCAAAUGUGAGGAGGAAACCCUAGGGUUUCUUUGUUUAGGCAUUUAGGCUUAUUGGGCCUAUUUUUGGGUCAGGUCUAGGUUUAGUCAUUGGGCUUGUGACUUGGGUCUUGGGUUUUAAUUUUGGGUUUAGGGUCAUGUAUUAAUUUUAGGUUUUGGACUGUAAAAAGGACUUUUAAUUAAUGGUCUGUUUCAUUUAUUGUAUUUUUUUGUGUUUUGGUUUCUUCUUCGGGCCCGGGCAAAUUGGCCUAUUUACAACUGACCCUCUUUGCUCAUUGUUGUGUAAUGAGAAUAGAGCAAAGACUUCAAAAAAGGCCAAUUUUGUCCGGUUUUACGAAACCAUGAUUUCUUUGGUGCUUCUUUUCUUCAGGUAACUUCGAUAUGCUCCACUGCAGCUUUAGGGAGACCCGGUUCAUGUGUUUUUAUCCUGCUCUACUGCAACUUCAGAGAGAUAAGGAUUGUGAAUUCGAUCUACUCCACUACAACUUCAGAGAGACAAGAUCUUGCAAUCUCUGGCCUGUUGCCCUACUACUUAGGGGGUUAAGGCUCGUUCUCUUCGAUCUGCUCUACUGGAGACGAGAUCUGCAAUCUUCAGCCUACUCCACUACAAUUUUUAGGGAGCCAGGUCGGUGGCGUAAACCUGCUUCACUGCAACAUCAGGAAGCCUAGAUUUACCGUCUUUGAUCUGUUCCACUGCAAUCUCAGGGAAACAAGAUCUACAAUCUUCAGCCUACUCCACUACAACUUUAGGGAGUUAGGUUGGUGGCUUAAAUCUGCCUCACUGCAAUCUCAGGAAGCCUAGAUUCACCGUCUUCGAUCUGCUCCACUGUAACUUUAGGGAAAUGAGAUCUAAAAUUUCAACCUACUCCACUACCACUUUAGGGAGCUAGGGUGAUGGCUCAAAUCUGCUUCACUGCAAACUCAGGAAGCUUAGAUUCACCGUCUCCGAUCUGCUCCACUGCAACUUUAGGGAAUCAAGAUCUAAAAUUUCAACCUACUCCACUACAACUUUAGGGAGCUAGGUUGGUGGCUCAAAUCUGCUUCACUGCAAUCUCAGAAAGCCUAGAUUCACCGUCUUCGAUCUGCUCCACUGCAACUUCAGGGAAACGAGAUCUAAAAUUUCAACCUACUCCACUACAAUUUUAGGGAGCUAGGGUGAUGGCUCAAAUCUGCUUCACUGCAAACUCAGGAAGCCUAGAUUCACCGUCUUCGAUCUGCUCCACUGUAACUUCAGGGAAACGAGAUCUAAAAUUUCAACCUACUCCACUACAACUUUAGGGAGCUAGGUUGGUGGCUCCCAUCUGCUUUACUACAACUUCAGGAAGUUAAGAUUUACCGUCUUCGAUUUGCUUCACUGUAACUUCAGGGAAACAAGAUCUGUAGAAUUUACCAAUAUUGCUACACCGUCUUCUAAAGACAUGAUUUGUAGAAUUGGUUUCCUAUAUCUGUGUAUGCCAAAUAAUUAGGGUGCCAUGAUCAAAAUGAAUCUAAUGCCCCUGACUAUACGUGGUGUUUAUGUCAAGUAAUUAAAAUGCUAUGAUCGAAAUGAAUCAAGUGCUCCUAACUAAAUGAAUGAUUAUGAAUGUAGAAAUGUUAUGAGAGUGAUUCCUUUUUAAACGCUUAAGGUAUCAUUGCUCAUAAUUCAUCUGGGUUCCAUCAUUGAUGUUCUAUCGCGUCUUCUUGCUUAGCCGUUAUCUCUGACAGAAAAUUUGAAGAAAUAGUCAUAAUUUGGACUACUCUUUUCUCAAUGUUUUCCAACUUUGAACCUGGUUAGUCCUGACUAGUGGCCUUGUUUCAGGUCUUUGUACUAUUUAGAGACUUUCCAGAGUAAUAUGCAUAACUUUUUUUAUGUGAAUAUUAUAAGUCCAAAAAUCAUGAUUUCAACAAAGAUGCUCGAAAGAGAUUAUCAUAAUGGACAAAUGGAAUUUUAUUAAGCAAAAUUUGAUGUGAAUACAUAGGAUAAUGAAUCUUGAUAAGGUGAAAAAUAGAAUGAGAAAAAGGUGCCCCCAGAUAUCGCAGCACGAGCUUCACUAUUCUAAUUCCUCAAAGGCUCUUUCGAACCAAAUGUGUGUUCAGGAGAUCCCUCGUAUUUUUUUGAUGCUCCAAGGUGUAAUGUUCUCCUGUCUUGCUGAUUUCGGGAGGACAAGACUACCACAUGACCUAUAUUUAAAAUUUGAGCCGCCCGUUUUCGCGUUUUCAACUCAAAAACCCCUUUGGUCUCAAAGUGCCCUUUGCGGGUUUUCACCUUGGCCUCUCCUUUUUUUUUUGAAUGCCCUUUGUGGGUUUUCACUUUGGCCCCCUCUUCUUUAGGUAAAAUACUUCUUAACUGAAUCUGAAUUUACAGGAUUGGGCAAGUUUCUACCAUCCAUCUCGGCUAGAAUCAAUGCUCCUCCGGAAAAAGCUUUCUUCACCACGUAAGGCCCCUCCCAAUUAGGCAUCCAUUUUCCUCGAAAAUCUUUCUGUAUGGGAAGGAUAUUUUUCAAAACCAAGUCUCCAUCAUGGAAUUCUCUAGGGUGAACCUUUUUGUCAUAAGCCCGCAUAAUUCGUUUUUGGUACAUCUGACCAUGACGGAUAGCUCUUAGUCUCUUUUCCUCAAUCAAGUUCAAUUGAUCGUAUCGAGACUGGAUCCAUUCUGCUUCAUCCAAAUUUAACUCCGACAACACUCGAAGAGACGAGAUCUCGACUUUGAUUGGCAACACUACCUCUAUUCCGUAGACUAAAGAGAAAGUCGUUGCUCCAGUUGAGGUUAUGACUGAUAUUCGAUAAGCAAAUAGGGCAAACGAUAACUUCUCAUGCCAAUCUCUGUAAGUCUUGGUCAUCUUCCCCACAAUCUUCUUAAUAUUUUUAUUGGCUGCUUCCACUGCCCCAUUCAUCUUCGGGCGAUAUGGCGACGAGUUGUGGUGUCUGAUCUUGAAUUGACUGCAGACUUCUGCUAUCGUACUAUUGUUCAGGUUUAAUGCAUUGUCAGGUUUGAUCCUCUCUGGCAUUCCAUACCGAUAUAUGAUCUCCUUCUUUAGAAAUUUACUCACUGCCGACUUUGUAACACUAGCAUACGAAGCAGCCUCUACCCAUUUGGUGAAGUAGUCGAUAACCACAAAGAUGAACUGAUGCCCAUUGGAAGCUUUCGGGGAUAUUGGUCCAAUCACAUCCAUGCCCCACAUAGAGAAUGGCCAUGGGGAAACUAUGACAUGCAGCGGUGAAGGAGGCAUAUAAAUUUUGUCUCCGUAGAUUUGGCACUUAUGGCAUCUCUUGGCGUAAUUGACACAGUCUCCUUCCAUGGUGGACCAAUAGUACCCGAAUAUCAUAAUUUACUUGGCCAUUGUAAAACCAUUAGCGUGUGUCCCACAGACGUCUUCAUGGACUUCUUUCAAGAUUUUCUUAGCUUCUACAGCGUCUACGCAUCUUAAUAGCAUUUGAUCCUUUCUCCUUUUGUAUAGGAUCUCCCCAUCUAAGAUGUAGUCGAUGUCCAAUCUUCUCAGCAUUCUUUUGUCAUUCUUGCUUGCUUGGUCCGGGUAUUUACAAUUCUUCACGUAUUGCAAUAUAUCGUGAUACCAAGGGUGAUCUUCUUUUUCUUCGCCUUCUCCAAUAUUAUAACAGUGGGCUGGAGUUUCAUAAAUGCUCAUCCGGAUGGGUUUGACAUCUUCUUGUUUGUUCACCUUGAUCAUAGAAGCUAAGGUAGCCAAAGCAUCAGUCAUCUAAUUUUCGUCUCGUGGAAGGUAGUGGAAGGUAAUGUCCUCAAACUUUUUAACCAAUUCCAGGACUAGUUUUUGAUAAUCGAUCAACAUGGGGUCUCCGGUCUCCCAUUCUCCCUUGAGUUGAUAAAUCACUAGCGCAGAAUCCCCAUACACCUCUAGCAUUUUAAUCUUGCGUUCUAUGGCUGCACAGAUUCCCAUGAUGCACGCUUCGUAUUCUGCUAUGUUACAAUUGAAAUCUAAUUUACUGAUGAAUGUAUAAUGAUCUCUAUUUGGGGACACCAAGACUGCCCCAAUUCCAUUACCCACAGCAUUUGACGCCCCAUCGAAGUUCAAUUUCCAAUGAAGUUUUUCUGGAUCACCUUUUCCAGCGGUCGCAACAACGUUAGGUCUUCAUUCGGAAAGUUGAAGUUCAGAGGCUCGAAGUCUUCCAAAGCUCUACUGGCCAAAAAAUCUGCUAUUGCACUUCCUUUUACUGCUUUCUGGUUCACAUAGACUAUGUCAAAUUCAGAAAGUAGAAUAUGCCAUCGGGCCAUCCUUCUAUUCAAAGCUGUUGACUCUAUCAUAUACUUUAAAGGGUCCAAUUUUGAGAUGAGCCAAGUGGUGUGAUACAACAUAUACUGCCUCAACCUUCGGGUUGUCCAAAUUAGGGCACAACACAACUUCUCUAUCGGCGAGUACCUUAUUUUGCAUUCCGUGAACUUUUUACUAAGAUAGUAAAUAGCUUUUUCCUUCUUUCCCGACUCAUCGUGCUGACCUAGUACGCAUCUCAUAGAAUUCUCAAAUACUGCCAGAUACAGUAUCAAUGGAUUAUCGGGGUUAGGUGGCAUUAGCACUGGAGCGUUGGAUAAGUACUGUUUGACCUUGUCAAAAGCCCUUUGGCAUUUUUUAUCCCAUUCACCUUGGUUGUGUUUCUUGAUGAGGCGAAAGACAGGGUCACGUUUCUCGGUUAAUUGCGAAAUAAACCGAGCGAUGUAAUUUAAUUUUCCUAAAAAGCCUCGAACCUCUUUCUGAGUACGCGGCGAAAAUAACUCUUGUAUGGCUUUGACUUUGUCUAGAUCGAUCUUGAUCCCUUUUUCACUGACCACGAAUCCGAGAAGCUUUCCAGACUUGGCUCUGAAGGUACAUUUUACCGGGUUGAGUUUUAGCUGAAAUUUCCUCAGUCUCAAGAAUAAUUUUCUCAGGACUUGUAUGUGCUCCUUCUCUGUUCGAGACUUAGCGAUCAUAUCAUCGACAUAAACCUCAAUCUCUUUAUGUAUCAUGUCAUGGAACAGGGUUACCAUGGCUCUUUGAUAAGUUACCCCCACAUUCUUCAGUCCAAACGGCAUCACUUUGUAGCAGAACGUGCCUCACAUGGUUACAAAUAUGGUCUUCUCCAUGUCUUCAGGAUGCAUCUUGAUCUGGUUAUAUCCGGAGAAACCGUCCAUGAAUGAAAACAGUGAGUGUCCCGCCGUGUUGUCCACUAGGGUGUCGAUAUGAGGUAGUGGGAAAUUGUCCUUCGGACUGGCCUUGUUCAAAUCUCUGUAGUCCACACACAUUCGUACUUUUCUAUCUUUCUUAGGGACAGGGACGAUGUUGGCUACCCAAUUUGAGUAUUUUACCACCUUUAGGAAUCCAGCGUCGAACUGCUAUCGGACAUUUUCUUUUAUUUUUAGUAAGACGUCAGGCCUUAUUCUUCGGAGUUUUUGCUGAAUUGGCUUACAUUCUUCUUUUAUAGGGAGUUGGUGUACCACGAUGUCAGUGUCCAACCUAGGGAUAUCUUGGUAUGACCAUGCGAAGACAUAUUUGAAUUCUUGAAGUAAUUCAAUGAGGUCUCGCUUCAUCUCCGUAGUGACACAUGUUCCAAUCUUCACCUCUUGUCCUUCUCUCAAGCUCACAAUUUCAACUGAUUCUUUGUGAGGUAGGAUUUGUUUCUCGUCUUGUUCUACCAUUCUCAACAAAUCAGGAGAUAGGUUACAGCCUUGGUCAUCUUCGAAAUCCUAGGAAUCAUCCAUACACACAUCUCGCUCAAAAGAAAAUUCUGAGUCACUAGCAGUGUCACUCGUAUCAUUGAUAUCUGGGGACCUGUUAUGAGGAUGAGGACAGAUACAAAGAAUCAAAAGAAUUCGAAACAUUUAUUUGCGUGGUAUGAUUAUGAAUGACGAAUGAAAGAAUAUUUCAAGAAUAAAAGAAUCCAAAAGUAAUCAUUUGUAUGGUUAUAGAUGAAAUUGAAAGGAUGGGAGAACAUUUGCUCAAAAAUGAUAAUAACCGUGCAUUUUAUUGAAAUAACAUUUUUAAACAUCGGCCUAUUUCACAAAAGAUUCUUAUUACUCCUAGGCCUAAAGCAAUAAGUGUGUUUUGGAUAUUACUCUGAAUCCGUUCUAAAAACUACAGGAAUCUCUUCCGCAGUCCAGUUGUCCAGAACACUUUCAGGUGUGUAACGGCAAAUGCCCGAUAAAUUUUCUCUUCUAGUCUCCUCUUCGUACAUGACGUUGAUGUCCAAGCUUUCCAACCUUUCUUCUAUAGCUCCCGUCAUUGGCAUGUCUCUCUCGGGAUGAAUGAUUCCCUCGGACACAAAUAUUUUCAAUAUAUGGAGAAAUAUCAUUGGUUCCCACUUGAUUUCCUCUCCCGUUAACCGUGCUCUCCUUCUUUCUUGCUUCUUUUCUAGCUCCCUCCUCUUUUGUUUCACAUCCGGCUUAAAUCCUAAGCCGAAGCGGUCUCUCUUGUCUUUCAGCAUUGGCGUUUCAACCCUUCCUUGCAGAUGUCUCCCAAGUCCUCUUCCGGGUAGGGCCCCUUUUCCAAUCGUCAACUAGAGGCUCAUCCUUGUGGUUUUGGACAAUUUUGGCAUCAGAAUCUUACUUCCCUCGGUGAUGAAGGUCACGUUAACAAAUUCCAAAGAUCGAAAUGAACAUUCGAUUGCUUCGUCAUCUGUCUCCAAAUAGGGCGCAUUAUUGCUCACAGUUGCAAUGAUAUCCUCCUCAGCCUUGAUCGUUAACAACCUCUCCUCCGAUACUAGCUUCAAUUUUGAUGCAAUGAGGAAGGCACUGCCCCAGCUGAAUGUAUCCAGGGCCUCCCCAACAAGCAAUUGUAUGAGGGCUUGAUAUUCAUUACGAGGAAAUCCACCUCAUACGUGUUUGGCCCAAUCUGAAGAGGUACAUCGAUUCUGCCCAUCACCUUCCUCUCUGUGCCAUCAAAUGCUUUCACGAUGUUCUGGCACUCCUUCAUGAGAGAGCUGUCUAUAGGUAACCUAUUCAACGUGGUCAAUGACAGGACGUUCAAAGCUGACCCAUUGUCAAUCAGCACGCCUAGCAGCGUAUACCCUUUACAGCGCGUGGUGAUAUGCAAAGCUUGAGUCGACCCCAUGCCCCCAGGUGGUAUCUCAUCGUCAUUGAAAAAGAUAUAGUUGUCGGAACUGAUGCUGCUAACCAAGCGGUCCAACUUGUUAAUGGAGAUAUCAUUGGCAACGUACGUUUCAUUCAAGACCUUCAUUAGCGCGCUGCGAUGAACUUUCGAGCUUAGAAGUAAGGCCAGCAUCGAGAUACGGACUGGUUGUUUACGUAGCUGUUCCACCACACUGUAUUCGCUAUGCUUUAGGAAUUUUAAAAACUCCUUGGCCUCCUCUUCGUUAACUGGCUCGUUAACAGGUUUGGUUGCUUUUCCCUUCAUUUCCUCGACCACCUGGGCUUUUCCUUUUGUGGGCUGUGCCUCCUCAUUUGCUGUAUCGUAACGUCUCUCGCUACGUGUAUAGGAGCCCCCAUCUUGGUCCCCUCUUGAAGCGUCAACCGGACUCUCCUUUCCCGGUAUCGUCACACUGUACUCAUAAUUCCAUGGGACCUUUUUACUGUCUUUGUAGGGGAAGACUGCAGGUCUUUGGAUUAUGACCCUCGGUGGCACUUGUACUCUAGCCUCAUUAUUUUUCGGUCUCGAAAUGAUUACCACUGGAUAGUUAUAUGUUCGAUUCUGUGCCGUCGAUUCUCCCUCCGAUGCGCAUAUAUCACAUUCUAUGAGGGUUUUGACUUCUUCAUAAAAUUUAAUUUCCUUAUUGUUCAUUAUAUUUUGCACUAAGGCUUUGAACUCCAUGUAAUCUUGGAUUUUAUGCCCCACCUCAUCGUGAAACUCACAGUAGUUUCUCUCUUGUUCGAUUUCUUCCCUCGAAUCCAACACGAUCAAUCCUCUUUUGGCCAUCUCCUUCCAUACCCGCCUCAACGGGGUCCUGACUUCUGCCAUCUCAUACUUGGUCUUCUUGUUCCUACCUUCACUUAUCCCAUUCACUCCUUGGUCGGCAUGAUUGGGGAGUGGGUUUCCUACUACAUUGGGUGUGGUUGGGUCAUCAAAUCUCACGAUCCCCACCUUAAUGAGUCUCUCGACUACUUUCUUGAAUACCAUGCAAUUUUUGAUCGAGUGCCCGGUAAUUCCCGCAUGGUAUUCACAUUGGGCGUUUGUGUCAUACCAUUUGGGAUACGGGGGCUACAGUGGCUCCAGGUAGAAAUGGGACACCACAUGAGCGUUGAACAGGUUCUGGUACAACUCCCUAUAUGUCAUGGGUAUAGGGGUGAAUUGUGGCCCUUCUGUGUUCUCCCUUGCAUUGGAUUCUUAUCUUACAGAGCUUUGUUGAUUGGUGGUCACCGUCUUGGGUUGAUUUACGGUAAAUGACUUGGAUUGCCCCUUGUUGAAUGUGCUCAUGUAGUUCACUUCAUUAUCUCUUUUUCUCGGGGCCGACUUCCUGGCACUCUCCCCCGACUCUAUCUUAUCGCUUCUCACAGCAUUUUCAAUCAUUUCCCCCGUAAUCACUAUGUCGGAGAAGCUCUUGGUGGCGCUUCCCAACAUAUGAGUGAUAAAAGGGGCCUUCAAGAUGUUUAUAAAGAGCAUCGCCGUCUCCUUUUCUAGAAGUGGCGGCUGAACUUGUAUGGCCACCUUUCUCCAUCUUUGUGCGUACUGUCUGAAGCUUUCAUUCGAUUUCUUCUCUAUAUUCUAGAGAGUGAUUCUGUCAGAGGUCAUGUCUGUCACAUGAUUGUAUUGCUUCAUAAAGGCCUGAUCCAGGUCCUUCCACGAAUUAAUUUUAGAGCGGCUUAAUUGGUUGUACCACUUAGACGCCGCCUCGACCAGACUAUCUUGAAAGUAGUGGAUUAAUAGUUGGUCAUUGUUAAUGUACCCCGUCAUUCGCCUGUAGAAUAUAGUGAUGUGGGCUUCAGGGCAACUUGUUCCAUUGUAUUUCUCGAAUUCGGGCAUUUUGAAUUUAGGGGGAAGGACUAAAUCUGGGACUAGACUCAGGUCUUUGGCAUCAAUCCCUUGAUGAUGAUUCGCGCUUUCCAUGGCUUUGAAUUUCUGCUCGAGCCAUCUACACCAUUCUUCCAAUUGUUUUUUUGAAUCUAUCCUCGCAUUUUCUUCAUAGGCAACUUCGUCCAAAUCGGGAACGGGCGGAUAGUUCGGGUUGUUGACAAACUUCGACCGGUUUGAAAAUUCAUCGGUAUUGAAGCUCCAGCCUGAACUUGUUGGGGCAUGAUCGUGAUAGAUGGUUUCAGUAGAUUAAUCUCGGGCUUCAUCGGUACAUGUGUCGGAGUGAAGCUAGGGGGUAUUGAGGAUCUUCAUUAGUUUCUUCAAUUUUGUCUAUGGGGCCCUUUCCCUUAUCCGUUCCUCCCAACAGCAAUUGGGAUAACUGACUCAUCAUUUCCCUCUGGGACUCCAUCAUUUGCUCUUUCAUCUCUCGCUGAAUCUUGGCUAGCUGCUCUUGCAUCUGGGACUGCAUUUGUUCUUGCAUAUCUUUUUGCAUCUGCUCCAAUUUCUUGAGUCUCUUAUCCAGUGAUUUUUUUCUUGUACCGUAGGGGUGUGUGGUUGGUUGGUUUUUGUUGGUUUCUAGGUUACUGAAAUAAUUUUUAAUUAAUUAAUUAGAAAACUCUUAUGGCCUUUAAUACACAAUGAUAUGAUGUAAUGCAAAUGCAUGAAUGCAAAGGAGGCAUCAAUUUUUCUAAGCAACAAGGCCAGCUCUUGUCCGUGAUCCGACUCCAACUCAUACUUCACGCUCAGUGUGUCCGCCUGAACCGCUAAAGUUUGCAAGUAGUCCGCUACCUCCCGAAUCUAGGUUAUGGCUUCCCCCAUAAGGUAAUCUCUGUUUCUGACUUGGUCUUGCGCAUGGUGAAGCUGCUCUUUCCAACGAUCCUCGUUUGCCUCGAAAAACUGGAUCCGCAUCUUACAGUUUUGCAGUGAUGCCUCUAACUCUUCUAUUCUUCCUUUCAUUUCUUUUAUCUUGCUCAAGCUUGCCCUCAACUCUAUUGCGGUGUUACGGUUUCGGUACUGAUGCAGAGACUUCUCGAGUUCUGCCACUCUAGCCCUUAAUUCACUUCGCUCAUUUCUACUCUCCGAUAGACUCUUCUCCAAAUCUUCGUUUCGUUCCUGAGCUUCUCAGAAUUUCCUUUCCCACCGGUCAGUAUUGGCCUUUUCUUCUCGAAUUUCAUGGCGCCAUUGUUUGGAAGACUUUCCUAACCCUGCGGUUCUCAUGGAUAGGCGCAGCUUCUUAUAGUCAGUCUUUAAGCUGUCUAGAUUCUCUUCGGCCUUAGUUUUUCUUUUUCUCCACUUCUCAGCCUCAGACCUCUAGACAUCAGCGUCUAACCGUAGUUGCAUCUUCUUCCCAAGCUCUGAACUCUUCUUCUCGAAGUCUUGUUUUAUAAUUUCCAAUUCUGAUGGGGCGACUUGUAAUUGUUCCCCGAUAGGUCGAGCAUUCUCUAAGCUUGGCCUAGGAAUAUUAUUAUUAAUCCUCUUCUUAAACCACUCGCUAUACUCGGGCGUUACCAUGGAACCGACGGCUAACCUCUUCAUCCAACAAGUUUGCUUCCAAGCAUCCGAUAACUCCCGAAAUCUCUUCUUAUAGUGAGCAUCUUUAAACGAGAAUUCACUCUGAGCAAGUCCAUAGGUCAUGGGUACAAACUACCUCGAUUUAUAUUGUCUCAAGGCUAGCAGUGGAGUAUACCCGAUAGCUCCCCAAAUUCCUAACAACGACACCCAAUCAAAGUUACUACAUCGGUACAUGAUCUCAUCAGGAACCAUCCAAUAAGCUCUCCACUUGAUAUCUCCCUCUUUGAGGUUCUGAAGAAUGUCCAUCCAUUUCUCCUCCGAGAUAUCCUCUCUCCUUUGUAUAACUGCCUCUUCUUUUAACGGGGAAUAACCUUCGGAAAAGACCCGAUAGGAAACCUUGUCUACCUUCCAAAAGUGCCCGUGAAACCAUGCCAUCAAUAAUUGUGCACAUCCAAUGAAUCGUCCCUCACCCGUCUUCUGACAUGAGCUCAAAGAUCUGAACGUUUCUGCCAAUAUCGUCGAUACCGGUGUGAUUCCCUUCUCAAGGCGAUCGAAUAAAUCAAUGACUACUUCGUCCACGUGCCUCAAAGCCUUGGGAAAAAUUACCAAUCUGUAGAUGCUUAAGGCGAAGAUGUCGAUCCUCUUUCUUUCGUCUGGAUGCGUCAAGAUCAAAUCUCGCAAAUUCUCCCAAGGGAUACAUUUGCUAUCUCCUUUUUGCUAAAUCCGAGCAGUGACCCAAGGCUCGUUCAUACCAAAAAUGUUCAUCAGUUUCUUCAAAAAAGUCUGACUACUAAAAACCCGGGCAUAAGUCUUCCGGACCUGAAUUUUUGGAUACUUGAGCAAAGUAGUGUAUUCCUCCAUGGUAGGUACCAAAUCCACUUUUCCAAAAGUGAAACACUUGUACGCAGAAUUCCAAAACUGCACCAAGGCUCGGAACAAAUGCUUAUCCACUCUAAUGUCUAGCAGGUAGGGUAUGUCACCAUAGCUUUGGUAAAACAACUGCUUAAUCAAGGCAUCCCAACUAGCCCAAAUAUCUCUCAACUCUUGCAACUCAUUCUGUACUACAUUGACACGAGUGAAAUCCUGCAGCUUCGAUACAUAUCCUUCUACCAAGCUAUCCCCUCUCUCUGAUUGUAGCCUCUUCGACCAUGCACGAACGACCACAUUAUCCUCGACUUUACUAAGAAAUUCAUUCUCUAUGUCAAACUUUCUAACUUAGUAAUUGAACACGGAUUAACACCUCCUUUAAUAUGCAAUGUCAUGCAAAAAGACAAUCAAAACAAAACACAGGUUAGUAUCAGGUAAUAUCGAUAAAAUGCAAGCACAUAAACGGUAAUCACAACGCAUAUACAGGUAAGUACUAAGGCUUGACGCGGCUCCACCCAAGGAUAACUCCUAACGUUCACUAUAUGUGGUUCGGUUCUAGAGAUAAAGUACUUGAACCAGCAGAUUCCUCAAUCCUCACCCAUUAUAGGCUCAUAUAGAUCGAGUUCGGUUCGGGGGAUACAUUUCCCAAUGACCAUGCGGAGAUGAAAAUCUCACGAAAUCAUAUGUACGGAUGUACCCCGGAAGCAAUCCACUAGCCCAUGCGGAGGUGAAAACCUCACGAAAGUGUAGUUUCUUACCCCACUUAGAAGGUGUGACUACAACGGUCAUGCAAUGAAAUGCAGUACUAUUCUACGAGAUUUGAACCAUAACAAUUAUACAAAUGAAUGCAAUUAUGAUUUUCAAAACAAGUUUUCGAUUUUUGACAGAAACACAACAAAUAAAUCGAUUUUAUGGCUCGACUCUCUAGUCCCCAGUGGAGUCGCCAAGCUGUCGAAACCAUCCUUUUUAUUUAAAAUUUUUAAAUUUAAUGAAAAUAUCGACUUUUGAAAAACAGAAAUAUGGAGUCGCUGUAAUAGCCCGAUUUUAGGCUUAGUCGGAACAGUGGUUUCGGGACCACAAAUCCGACGAAAAAAAAAAUGUAAUGGCUUGAAUUUUCAGAGGUGUCGGAACGGUGAUUCGAGAUCACUAAAUUCGACAAAUGGGUAGAAAAUAUUAUUAAUUUAGUAAGUAUAAGUUAAAUAUGAAGUUAGGAAAAUUUUUGAAAUAGUGAAUAGUGCACUAGAAAUAAAUAUUAAAAUAAUUAGAAUCGAAAUGAGGUAUCAAGACCUUGGGGAUUUUAAACUGAGCCAUAAAUAUUUUUAUAAAUAUUUAUGGAGUGUUAAAAAGUUAGUAUUAAAGUUUCGUUAAGAAAUUUUUAAGUUCCGAUAAUUAAUUGAACAAAAAGGACUAAAUUGUAACAAAUGCAAAAUUUUGGAAAAUGAUUAAAUAGCUUAAAUGAUAAAAGGAAGAGGGCUUAAAAAGCAAAUAGACCCAAGGUCUAUUUGGGCUGGACGGCAGAGGCAUGAAAUCAGCAAGAAAGUAAGGAGAAUUAAGGGCAAAAUUGGAAAAUUGCAAAAUUUGCUUAAUAAAGUUAGGACCCAAGUGGAAUUAUCUAGAUUUCUCUUCAUUUUUCUGAAUUCUUAUCAGCUAAAACACCAUGGAAGGGCUUCCUCAAGCUGGUUCUUCAUAUUUUUAUUACAAGUAAGUUCAAUUCUUGACUAUUUCUUGAAAUUUUUGUAUUUUUAUGACUUUUACAACUAGGCCCACUUGUUAAAUUCAUUAGUUUUUGAUUUUAUGAAAGAAGUUGAAAGUUGAUAUGAAUAUGUGCUGGAAGUAUAUGAUGAUUUAGCAUGAAAUUAGAGCUUUAAAUUGUUCAUAUGCUGAUUUUAUUGAAAGAAUUGAAUAGAAAGUGAAUGUUUGGGACCUAAUAGUAAAAGAGUUUGAAGAUAGAGUUAUAUGUGGAAAUUCUGAAUUUCAAUAGUUGUGUAACAACUUAUAAUGUCUAGUAAAGUACUAAUUGAGAAAAUUAGAUUAAUUGAGGGGUUAAUUGAGAAAGGACCGAAUUGUAUAAACUGUUAAAUUUGGGGCAAAAUGAAAAUCAACAUUUUGCACUAAAGCAGUUUUGGACAGCAGCAGUAGUGUAACUUUGAAAAAUCACCCAAAAUUGUAGAGAUUGAAUUAGAGGAUGAAUAAAAUAUGAAAUUAAAGCUUAUUGAGUCUAGUUUCUUAUAAAAGAAAUGAUGUGAGCAAUGGAAUUGUAAAUCAUGAGAUAUAAUAGAUUUUGUGAGACAAGGUCAGAAUGAAUUCGGGUUCCCCUGUUCUGACUUUGGAAAAUCAUUAAAAAUUGUACAGAAAUUAUUAUGAGUUAUAGUUUAUAUGGUUAGAAUCCUUAAUGAGUCUAUUUUUAGAAGAAACAAGCUAAAACAUCAUCCGAAUUCUGUACAAUGAGAUAAUUAAUUUUUAGUGAAGAGUGGUCGGAACUGUCAGACAGCGAAACAGGGGAAAAUUUAAAGAAUAAACUGUACUAUUUGGCUGAACCAAAAAUUAUGAAAAUUUUAUGGUAUGAAGAUAUGAGUCUAGUUUCAGGGAAAAUUAACGGAUCUUAAUUUGGAGCUCUGUAGCUCCGGAUAAAAAUAAUUUAGUGACUCUGACUCGGAUAAACAGCUUUGAAUAUACAUGUUAGUGAAUAUUGAAAUUAUGGUUAAUGUUGUUUAAGUGUGUUAUACACAUUAAGGAUGUGGAAUGGAGAGGAGGAGGAGGAAAAUUGGGAAAUAUAUGAAUGAUUCGUGUAUAAAUGGUCAUAUGUUUGAUUAUAACUCAUAAACGAUGAAAUAUGAAUGAUGCUUAUUUUUGUGCAUUAUUGGUCAUGGUUUAAGCUCAUGUGUGAAAAUAAAGUUUCAUAGUAUGUGUGUAUGGUAUAUUCAGUAUAUGAUUUGCCAUGAAAUAAUACCAUGAAUGGUUUAUGAAUUAACACAUGUUGGUAAGCCUGAUAUAUGAAUAAAUGAUCAAAUUGAGCGGAACGCCGGAUUUGAGUACUUCUGAUCAAGUGAUAAAGUGAUAAGUGGUAGCUUUAGCUACACUUAUCUGAUCAAGUGACAAGUGGAAAGUGAUAAGUAAUAGCUUCGGCUAUACUUAUCUGAUCAAGUGAUAAAGUGAUAAGUGAUAGCUUCGGCUAUACUUAUCUGAUCAAGUGACAAAAUGAUAAGUGAUAGCUUCAGCUACACUUAUCUGAUCAAGUGACAAGUGGAAAGUGAUAAGUGAUAGCUUCGGCUACACUUAUCUGAUCAAGUGACAAGUGAAAAGUGAUAAGUGAUAGCUUCGGCUAUACUUAUCUGAUCAAGAGACAAAGUGAUAAGUGAUAGCUUUAGCUACACUUAUCUGAUCAAGAGACAAAGUGAUAAGUGGCUACACUUAUCUGAUCAAGAAACAAAGUGAUAAGUGGCUACACUUAUCUGAUCAGGGACAAGUGAUAAGUGAUCAUACGUAAGACCAUAGUUAUACUAUGGCAAAGUGAAAGUGAAGUACUCAAUUUUCCGUGACCGUUCCCUAAUUUGAUAAAAGAUGGUAAGUGACAAAUGGGCCCAAAAGAAUUAAAGUAAAUGGAUAAGUGGUAGUGUAUUUAUAUCAGGACGAUGUUGUUAUUCAAACUAAAGUGAUAUUUUCAUUGCUAAAUUGAGAAUUUCAUAAAUGUGUUAUUGAAUGGUAUAAUCAAUAAACAUUGAGUUAAAUGGUAAAUACAUAUUAGUUUUGAAUUUGAUGUCAUUGAAUUGUACGUGAAUUAAAUGGAAAUUUCUAGUGAUAUGAUUUAAAUUAUGAGCAUGAGAAAUUGCGAAUUGAAUGAAAUGGAAAUGAAGCAUUAAAUUGCAUGAGUAUGUAUCGGGUCUCGCAGACCCUAAUUAUUAUGAUUAUAAUAUUUUAAGGAUAUAUUGUGAAAAGUUAUAGAAACAUGUUAAUUAUUUUUGAAAGUUUUAAUUUUGAUGAAAUUUUAUAACUCGGUUAAAUACGUUUACAAGUGUAUGUGUUUUGGUAAUGCCUCGUACCCUAUUCCGGUGUUGGAUACGGGUAAGGGGUGUUACAGUCGCCACCGAUCCUUUUGUUUUGGUGUGAUCGGGUCACCUAAGAAUUUGGUUAUUUUAAUAAAACAUUUGUGAUCUACUAAAACAACAACUCUGGUCUACGAAAAAUUUAGAAAACGGGCUCGGGAGUCGGUUACGCAUGAGGAAGGAUUAGCACCCUUACUACGCCCAAAAUUGGUACCAAAUCGAUUAAAUACUGUUCUUAUGUCUAAAAUUAAAAAUGUUUUUGAAAUGUGGUUUUUUUAUAACAGUUGAAUAACCCGAGUUGAUUGUCAAAAAUCUUCUUGUUCGACGUUCGAAAAUUUAUAAUUUGAAAAUCACGAAGGGAUGCUCAACUAUUUAGUCCAACGAAAAAUCGAAACCCAGCACAGUAGGGCACGAUUAUUCGAAUUCCCAAACAUCGAUCAUUACCUCACUUUGGGAAAAUACAAGUGAAAUUCCGGAGAGAUAUUCGGUUAUUUUGGACAGACGGGAGAUUGCAACCCCGCACGAUAGGGCACUAUUCCCCGAACUGCCAAACAUCGAACACUUCUUUCGUUUAAAAGGGUUUUUAGAAAACGUGAAUGAAACUUCGAAGGGAUCUUCGAUUGUAUAGGGCGAAUGAAAAAGCGCAACCCAGCACGAUAUGGCACAAUUCUCAAAUCGCCAAACAUCGAACAUCAUUUGUUUUGAAAGGUUUUUAAUAAACAUGAGUGAAAACCUAAAGGAAUAUUCGAUUGUUUUGAGCAAACGAGAAAUCACAACCCAGCACUAUAGGGCAUGAUUCCCGAAUUGUCAAUCACCGAAUAUUGCCUUCGUUUUAAAUGAUUUUUAGAAGACAUGCGUGAAAUUUUGGAGGGAUAUUUGAUUAUUUUAAGCAAACGAGAAAUUGCAACCCAGCCCGUUAGGGCACGAUUCCAUGAAUUGCCAAAUAUCGCACAUCGCCUCCAUUUUAAAGAAUUUUUAAAAGGCAUGAGUGAAAUUUUGAAGGGAUAUUCGAUUAUUUUGAGCAAAUGCGAAAUUGUAACCCAACACGUUAGGGCACUAUUCCGCGAAUUGCCAAAUGUCGAAUCUCGACUUCGUUUUAAAGAAUUUUUAAGUGAAUACUUAUAAACUAGCUUAAAACGUAUUAAUGCAUUUUUUAAAAUGAAACGAAAUUAAUCAUAAAAUUUGGAUUUUAUAAAACCACAUUUCGAAAAUCAAAAGGAAAACAAUGAAUGGGGUAAUAUGUACAUAUAAAAUACGAAAAUAGAAGAGUGGAGGUAAUACGAUUUAUUUGACCAACUAACAAACACUUACAACUAAGCACAAUUAGCUUGGAAAUAUAGCUCAAUCUCAACAUGCAUGGAGAAUAAUUAACAUGGCAAUAUAAAAUAAUGAACAAAUAAAUAAUGCAAUGAUAACAUGCAUGGGAAAUAAUUUAUAUACAAUACAAUAAAGAAAAUAAUACUACAACAAUACAACACCACAAAACAAUACAUAAAAAUGUGCCAAAAUGACGUGCAUAACAUGAUAUAAAAUAAUUAACGCAAGAUGUAAAAAGAGGAACAACAUAACAAUUAGAAGCCAAUGUGGUAUAAAAUAAUUUUAAAAUAGUGAUGAAUAAAUGAACACAUAAUAUAUAGGUUGACCAAUUUGCAUAAAAAGUAAGGAUAUAUAAUUAUUGAAAUAGAUAUUAUAGAGUGGAAAUUUGAAUCAAAUUGCAUGUAAAAUGUUUUAGACACAAAUACAUUUAAAAAUCGACAACGUACAUGAUAAUAAUGUAUAUAAUAUGAAAAAAUAAUAAAGAUAUAUGACAAGUUAUAAUACACUAAAUAGAUUUAUAAAACAUAUAUACAUAAAUGACUUUUUAAAAAUAAUUAUUUGUAAAAACAUAGAAAUACCUACAAGCUUAAAUUAAUUUUAUAACAAGUCGUAUAAUGGACUUAAGAACAUGCUUAUAUAUAUAUAUAUAAAGAAGACUAUAUGUAUGAAACACAUGGAUUUAAUAAUAUAUAGAUCAAAUGUAGGUAUCAAUAAAUAUACAUAUAUAAAUAAUGAUUACUUAGAAGAUAUAUUACGUAGGACUAUAUAAUGAAAUACAAGAAAAAAUUUGAGAAAUCAUAUGUAUAAAAUAAUAUAGGGUUAAUAAUAUAUAUACGAAAUAAGUUAACUUUAAUAUAUAUAAAAAAAUAUGCUCAUAUGUACAAAGUAUGUUUUUUUUAGGAGUAUCUAGUUAAAAAUGACCAUAUACAUAUAAAAAAGAAAAAUAAUUUAAAUGACAUAUGCACCAUAUAUAUAUAUAAAAGGAUUGAAUAUGAGGAUAAAAUAUAAAUAUGUAUAUAAAAAUAUAUGAAAACUUUUUUUUUAAAAGAAUGAUAAAAUGAUUUUAAGGAUACAUCAAGUUUUAAAAUGAAAAAUAUGUAACAACACAAAACAAAUAGUACAUAUCUAAAAUAAAUAAUAUAUGAAAACCUUAGAUUAAUAAUAAAAUAAUUUAAAAAUGAAGAAUACGACAAAUUUUAAAUUAAUAUGGAAAAAUGGCUAGAACUUAAACAUGUAUAUAUGGUGAAAGACAAUUUAAAUAUUAUGUAAAACGUGAAAGGUUCUAAAUAUAUAUAUAAUAAGAUGUGUUCUUGAGAAUAAAUUAUAUACAUGAUGGGCUAAAAAAAUACGACCACAAAUAUACAAGUAGGUUUAAAAGGAAUUAUGUAUGUAAAAGUAACGUAGAAUUAAUAAUAUAUAGAAUAUAAAAAAAAAACUAGUCUUGCCAUGAACUAUAUAUGCACAAUAUUAUAUGAAUAAAACAAAGUAAUAUAUAAAUUUUUUUUAAAACAAUAUGAUAAAAGAAAACUUUAAAAUAAAGACUUUAUAAAAUCAGGAGCUAAUAUUAUCAUGUUAAUUCAAAAAAAGUAUGUAUAUACAUGUAUAGAAAGUAUUAAGUUGAUAAAAAAAAUGAUAGACCAUGUAAAUCAAAUGGACUCAAUUAAAAUACAAUUAAAAUGAAUGGGCUAAUUUAUAAAUAAAAUAAUCAAAAGAGGGCCAAGGUGUGAUGCGCGUCAAUGUAAAAGGACUAGAACUAGAAAUAACCUAAGUUCUAAAACGCAGAGCAGAGAUACGGACCAAAGCGCAAACAUGCUCAAAUUACAGGGCUAAUUUUAAAACACAAGGUAGGCAAAUUGGACGCAAAUUGAAGGCUGUGCGCAAGAGGAAGGACUUAUUUCCUAAAUAGACCAUUUUAGGCGCAAAAGGCUCCCCCACCGUUCUUACACGGUACCGUUUUGCUUAAUAUUUGAAACUUAAAGCCGUUGAAUGGCAGCUUACUAUUCCCCUUUUUUUUCGCCAUAAGCAGCAGACCCAAUUCUUAGAGUUUCAACACAGCAAAUUUUUGGGUUUUCCCAUCCCCCCAUUUGACCAUUCGACUGCCCCAUUCUACCAUUGAAAUUGAUGGACGGUGGCUCCCCAUGGAGUGGUUUCAUUCUCCUACUCUAAGCCUCACCUCGAAAGGUAAGAUUUUUAGCCCGAAAACCCAUCUCAAGCUUCGAUUUCGACGAAGAAGAGAUGGUCCCCGAUGGCUCGUUUGAAGGUAUGCUUCCUUUUUUAUUAUAUUAUGCAGAAAACAUAUGAAACAUGAAAGGAAGAUGAAAUAGAUGCGGAAAAAAAAGAAGAAGCACAAGGCGUUCGAAAAAAAAAUCACCUUCUAGUUCUAUUCUGAUUUCUCUCUAUUGCGGAUUGCGUAAAUGUCUGUUUUUUUGUGUAACCGAUUACAAGGAUUAAAAUUUCGGCUUUAUAGGCGAAGAAAAAAAAGAAAAAAUAAAAAAUACAAUAUUUCUCUUUUGUUUGCAUUCGCUGCUGUUCUGCCUCGUUUGUUUGCAGGUACGGAGGUAUGGAGCCAGCUGUGGGGAUAUGUGGCACUCGACGUAGGGCGUACGGAGGCGUUGAAGGCGGUCGUAUGGCGCGAGGGCUGGGGCUCGUCUGCAGUUGCGGCGCAAAUGUGAGGAGAAAACCCUAGGGUUUCUUUGUUUAGGCAUUUGGGCUUAUUGGGCCUAUUUUUGGAUCAGGUCUAGGUUUAGUCAUUGGGCUUGUGACUUGGGUCUUGAGUUUUAAUUUUGGGUUUAAGGUCAUGUAUUAAUUUUAGAUUUGGACUGUAAAAAGGAUUUUUAAUUAAUAGACUGUUUCAUUUAUUGUAUUUUUUUGUGUUUUGGUUUCUUUUUCGGGCCGGACAAAUUAGCCUAUUUACAUCAACCAUUAAAUUUUAUGAAGUAAUUGAUUAAAUAAUUGGUUAAAAUGAAUAUUGUUUGUGAUUUGCUUAGCAAUUCA